GUCUACGACCAUACCACCCUGAAUGCGCCCGAUCUCGUCUGAUCUCGGAAGCUAAGCAGGGUCAGGCCUGGUUAGUACUUGGAUGGGAGACCACUUGGUUGUGUCUAGUUAGCCA
rnacentral:rRNA from 1 species